AUACGUAGGGGGCGAGCGUUGUCCGGAAUGACUGGGCGUAAAGGGCGCGUAGGCGGCGCUUCAAGUCGUCUGUCAAAUGGGAGGGCUUAACCCUUUUUCGCAGACGAAACUGGAGAGCUUGAGAAGCAGAGAGGCAAACAGAAUUCCUGGUGUAGCGGUGAAAUGCGUAGAUAUCAGGAAGAAUACCAGUGGCGAAGGCGGUUUGCUGGCUGCAUACUGACGCUGAAGCGCGAAAGCCAGGGGAGCAAACGGGAUUAGAUACCCCGGUAGUCCUGGCAGUAAACGAUGUAUGCUGGGUGUGAGACUAGCGAUAGUUUCGUGCCGAAGUUAACGCGAUAAGCAUACCGCCUGGGGAGUACGGUCGCAAGAUUGAAACUCAAAUGAAUUGGCGGGG
rnacentral:rRNA from 1 species